CAUAGCUUCUUCAUAUAUAGUCUGGAAAAUCUCACACUGUAUGUUGUCCUCAAGUUUCUUUCCACUGUAACUCCUGAAAGCAAAUUUAAAUGUCAACUGUCAUUU